GGGAGUGUAGCUCAGUGGUAGAGCACUUGCCUAGCAUGCACGAGGCCCUGGGCUUAAUCCUCAGCCCCA
rnacentral:tRNA from 1 species